rnacentral:rRNA from 1 species
UACGUAGGGUGCAAGCGUUAAUCGGAAUUACUGGGCGUAAAGCGUGCGCAGGCGGUUGUGCAAGACCGAUGUGAAAUCCCCGGGCUUAACCUGGGAAUGGCAUUGGUGACUGCACGGCUAGAGUGUGUCAGAGGGGGGUAGAAUUCCACGUGUAGCUGUGAAAUGCGUAGAGAUGUGGAGGAAUACCGAUGGCGAAGGCAGCCCCCUGGGAUAACACUGACGCUCAUGCACGAAAGCGUGGGGAGCAAACAGG